rfam:Triticum aestivum genome assembly, contig: Triticum_aestivum_CS42_TGACv1_scaffold_594876_7BS
CAACUACUCCCUUUCUCCCAAAUUUCUUGUCUUAGAUUUGUCUAGAUACGGGUAUCUAAUACUAAAAUGUGACUUGAUACAUCUGUAUCUAGACAAUUCUAAGACAAGAAUUUUGGGACGGAGGGAGUACUUU